GCGGUGUAAACGCGUCCAGAAGUGCUCCAGGUCCGAAGUACAACUGUCAGAACAGGAGUCCUGUGUCAGCACUUUGAAAGAAACCAAGAUCGUCCUUAAAAUCCUACGAUAUUUUCUAUUCGUGACUAUUACCCGUGCCAUCCGACGGUAUGUGACAUCUAACAGACUGAGGAAAACCAUGAAAACCUCCAUCCACGAUAGACAGACGCCACACUCAGUAUGCCACUACACCUCGUUGCGAAAAACGUAUGGUUAUUUUUGAU